UAAACAAGUAGCAAAAUAAGAAACCCAAAAAUCGAAAAUGAAGAAGCUUAUCUUCCUAAUUUUCAACAUAAUUAUGCUUUCAAUCGGCAAUUGCGGUGGUCCUUUAAUCUCUCGACUCUAUUUCAUUCAUGGCGGCCAACGAAUUUGGAUACCCAGCGUAUUACAAACUGUUGGUUGUCCAAUUAUUCUCAUCCCUCUAGCCAUAGCCUAUUUCCAACGCCGGAAAAUUCAAGGACCCGAGGCUAAAAUUGUCUUUAUCACACGGCAAGAGUUCAUCGCAUCUGCCGGCGUCGGAAUCAUCGUCGGUCUCGAUAGUUACUUAAACUCAUGGGGACCCGCGAAAUUACCCGUUUCAACUUCGCUCUAAUCAACGCGACUCAACUUGCGUUCACUGCGCUUUUUGCUGUGCUUAUAGUUAAACAGAAAUUGACAGCGUAUUCGACGAAUUCCGUCGUUUUGCUUAUCGCCGGAGCUGCGACUUUAGCUCUCCGGGCGAACGGUGACCGGCCGGCCGGCGAGUCCACGAAGGAUUAUAUGUUGGGGUUUGUGAUGACGUUUAUCGGUGCGGUGUUAUAUGGAUUGAUGUUGCCGUUAAUUGAGUUGAUUUAUAUGAAGGCGAAGCAAGCUGUUACUUACACUACAGUAUUGGAGAUUCAGAUGGUUUUGGGUAUUUCUGCUACUGUUUUUUGCACCAUUGGAAUGAUUAUCAACAAGGAUUUCCAGGCGAUUCCAAGGGAAGCAAGUCAAUAUGCAAUUGGAGAAUCUAAGUAUUAUAUGGUACUAGUAUUGUGUGCCGUUAUUUGGCAAUUCGCCCUCAUGGGGUUAGUCGGAGUUAUUUUUUAUUCUUCCUCUUUACUCUCUGGAAUUAUAGGCGCUUUUUUACUUCCUGUUACCGAAGUUUUGGCUGUAAUUUUGUUCCACGAAAAAUUUCAAGCCGAAAAAGGAAUAGCUAUUUUUCUAGCUCUAUGGGGAUUUGUUUCAUAUUUUUAUGGUGAAUAUGAACAAGGGAAGAAGGAAAAGAAGAUGAAGUUAAAGAAAAGUGAGAGUCAAAUAUCUCAACAAUUAGAUAUGGGCCAAACAGGCGCAGGACAUGUUGUGUAGCAAAUUUAAUGUAAUGGCCAAAUAAUGCAUGUACUAUUUUAUUUUGUUCUACUUGUAUGAAAAUUAAUUAAUCAUUAGGUGCAAAUUUCUGUUCUUCAUUUAAAAGAUGUGACUAGAAUUUAUUGGUUACCCCACAACUACUCAAUAGACCCUGUUUAAUAAUCCCUCAAAUUGUUGAUGAAGGGAUUAUUAUGAAAGAAUGAAGUUUAUCC